rnacentral:rRNA from 2 species
CAAGUGAAGAAGCGCAUACGGUGGAUGCCUUGGCAGUCAGAGGCGAUGAAAGACGUGGUAGCCUGCGAUAAGCUUCGGGGAGUCGGCAAACAGACUUUGAUCCGGAGAUCUCUGAAUGGGGGAACCCACCUAGGAUAACCUAGGUAUCUUGUACUGAAUCCAUAGGUGCAAGAGGCGAACCAGGGGAACUGAAACAUCUAAGUACCCUGAGGAAAAGAAAUCAACCGAGAUUCCCUUAGUAGUGGCGAGCGAACGGGGAUUAGCCCUUAAGCUUCAUUGAUUUUAGCGGAACGCUCUGGAAAGUGCGGCCAUAGUGGGUGAUAGCCCCGUACGCGAAAGGAUCUUUGAAGUGAAAUCGAGUAGGACGGAGCACGAGAAACUUUGUCUGAACAUGGGGGGACCAUCCUCCAAGGCUAAAUACUACUGACUGACCGAUAGUGAACCAGUACCGUGAGGGAAAGGCGAAAAGAACCCCGGAGAGGGGAGUGAAAUAGAACCUGAAACCGUAUGCGUACAAGCAGUGGGAGCCUACUUGUUAGGUGACUGCGUACCUUUUGUAUAAUGGGUCAGCGACUUAUAUUCAGUGGCGAGCUUAACCGAAUAGGGUAGGCGUAGCGAAAGCGAGUCUUAAUAGGGCGUUUAGUCGCUGGGUAUAGACCCGAAACCGGGCGAUCUAUCCAUGAGCAGGUUGAAGGUUAGGUAACACUGACUGGAGGACCGAACCCACUCCCGUUGAAAAGGUAGGGGAUGACUUGUGGAUCGGAGUGAAAGGCUAAUCAAGCUCGGAGAUAGCUGGUUCUCCUCGAAAGCUAUUUAGGUAGCGCCUCAUGUAUCACUCUGGGGGGUAGAGCACUGUUUCGGCUAGGGGGUCAUCCCGACUUACCAAACCGAUGCAAACUCCGAAUACCCAGAAGUGCCGAGCAUGGGAGACACACGGCGGGUGCUAACGUCCGUCGUGAAAAGGGAAACAACCCAGACCGCCAGCUAAGGUCCCAAAGUUGUGGUUAAGUGGUAAACGAUGUGGGAAGGCUUAGACAGCUAGGAGGUUGGCUUAGAAGCAGCCAUCCUUUAAAGAAAGCGUAAUAGCUCACUAGUCGAGUCGGCCUGCGCGGAAGAUGUAACGGGGCUCAAACCACACACCGAAGCUGCGGGUGUCACGUAAGUGACGCGGUAGAGGAGCGUUCUGUAAGCCUGUGAAGGUGAGUUGAGAAGCUUGCUGGAGGUAUCAGAAGUGCGAAUGCUGACAUGAGUAACGACAAUGGGUGUGAAAAACACCCACGCCGAAAGACCAAGGGUUCCUGCGCAACGUUAAUCGACGCAGGGUUAGUCGGUUCCUAAGGCGAGGCUGAAAAGCGUAGUCGAUGGGAAACAGGUUAAUAUUCCUGUACUUCUGGUUACUGCGAUGGAGGGACGGAGAAGGCUAGGCCAGCUUGGCGUUGGUUGUCCAAGUUUAAGGUGGUAGGCUGAAAUCUUAGGUAAAUCCGGGGUUUCAAGGCCGAGAGCUGAUGACGAGUCGUCUUUUAGAUGACGAAGUGGUUGAUGCCAUGCUUCCAAGAAAAGCUUCUAAGCUUCAGGUAACCAGGAACCGUACCCCAAACCGACACAGGUGGUCGGGUAGAGAAUACCAAGGCGCUUGAGAGAACUCGGGUGAAGGAACUAGGCAAAAUGGCACCGUAACUUCGGGAGAAGGUGCGCCGGCUAGGGUGAAGGAUUUACUCCGUAAGCUCUGGCUGGUCGAAGAUACCAGGCCGCUGCGACUGUUUAUUAAAAACACAGCACUCUGCAAACACGAAAGUGGACGUAUAGGGUGUGACGCCUGCCCGGUGCCGGAAGGUUAAUUGAUGGGGUUAGCGCAAGCGAAGCUCUUGAUCGAAGCCCCGGUAAACGGCGGCCGUAACUAUAACGGUCCUAAGGUAGCGAAAUUCCUUGUCGGGUAAGUUCCGACCUGCACGAAUGGCGUAACGAUGGCGGCGCUGUCUCCACCCGAGACUCAGUGAAAUUGAAAUCGCUGUGAAGAUGCAGUGUAUCCGCGGCUAGACGGAAAGACCCCGUGAACCUUUACUGUAGCUUUGCACUGGACUUUGAGCCUGCUUGUGUAGGAUAGGUGGGAGGCUUUGAAGCGUGGACGCCAGUUCGCGUGGAGCCAUCCUUGAAAUACCACCCUGGCAUGCUUGAGGUUCUAACUCUGGUCCGUGAUCCGGAUCGAGGACAGUGUAUGGUGGGCAGUUUGACUGGGGCGGUCUCCUCCUAAAGAGUAACGGAGGAGUACGAAGGUGCGCUCAGACCGGUCGGAAAUCGGUCGCAGAGUAUAAAGGCAAAAGCGCGCUUGACUGCGAGACAGACACGUCGAGCAGGUACGAAAGUAGGUCUUAGUGAUCCGGUGGUUCUGUAUGGAAGGGCCAUCGCUCAACGGAUAAAAGGUACUCCGGGGAUAACAGGCUGAUACCGCCCAAGAGUUCAUAUCGACGGCGGUGUUUGGCACCUCGAUGUCGGCUCAUCACAUCCUGGGGCUGAAGCCGGUCCCAAGGGUAUGGCUGUUCGCCAUUUAAAGUGGUACGCGAGCUGGGUUUAGAACGUCGUGAGACAGUUCGGUCCCUAUCUGCCGUGGACGUUUGAGAUUUGAGAGGGGCUGCUCCUAGUACGAGAGGACCGGAGUGGACGAACCUCUGGUGUUCCGGUUGUCACGCCAGUGGCAUUGCCGGGUAGCUAUGUUCGGAAAAGAUAACCGCUGAAAGCAUCUAAGCGGGAAACUUGCCUCAAGAUGAGAUCUCACUGGGAACUUGAUUCCCCUGAAGGGCCGUCGAAGACUACGACGUUGAUAGGCUGGGUGUGUAAGCGUUGUGAGGCGUUGAGCUAACCAGUACUAAUUGCCCGUGAGGCUUGACCA